rnacentral:rRNA from 1 species
UAACGCUGAGAUACGAUGUCGAGCUACUACGGUAGUGAAGUCAUUGAUGCCAUGCUUCCAGGAAAAGCCUCUAAGCUUCAGAUUGUAAGGAAUCGUACCCCAAACCGACACAGGUGGUCGGGUAGAGAAUACCAAGGCGCUUGAGAGAACUCGGGUGAAGGAACUAGGCAAAAUGGUACCGUAACUUCGGGAGAAGGUACGCUCUUAUCAGUGAAGUCCCUUGCGGAUGGAGCAGACGAGAGUCGCAGAUACCAGGUGGCUGCAACUGUUUAUUAAAAACACAGCACUGUGCAAAAUCGUAAGAUGACGUAUACGGUGUGACGCCUGCCCGGUGCCGGAAGGUUAAUUGAUGGGGUUAGACUUCGGUCGAAGCUCUUGAUCGAAGCCCCGGUAAACGGCGGCCGUAACUAUAACGGUCCUAAGGUAGCGAAAUUCCUUGUCGGGUAAGUUCCGACCUGCACGAAUGGCGUAAUGAUGGCCACGCUGUCUCCACCCGAGACUCAGUGAAAUUGAAAUCGCUGUGAAGAUGCAGUGUACCCGCGGCUAGACGGAAAGACCCCGUGAACCUUUACUACAGCUUGGCACUGAACAUUGAACCUACAUGUGUAGGAUAGGUGGGAGACUUUGAAACCGCGUCGCUAGAUGUGGUGGAGUCGUCCUUGAAAUACCACCCUUGUAGUUUUGAUGUUCUAACGUUGGUCCCUGAAUCGGGAUUACGGACAGUGCCUGGUGGGUAGUUUGACUGGGGCGGUCUCCUCCCAAAGAGUAACGGAGGAGCACGAAGGUGGGCUAAACACGGUUGGACAUCGUGUGGUUAGUGCAAUGGCAUAAGCCCGCUUGACUGCGAGAAUGACAAUUCGAGCAGGUGCGAAAGCAGGUCAUAGUGAUCCGGUGGUUCUGAAUGGAAGGGCCAUCGCUCAACGGAUAAAAGGUACUCCGGGGAUAACAGGCUGAUACCGCCCAAGAGUUCAUAUCGACGGCGGUGUUUGGCACCUCGAUGUCGGCUCAUCACAUCCUGGGGCUGAAGUCGGUCCCAAGGGUAUGGCUGUUCGCCAUUUAAAGUGGUACGCGAGCUGGGUUUAGAACGUCGUGAGACAGUUCGGUCCCUAUCUGCCGUGGGCGUUGGAAAAUUGAAGGGGGCUGCUCCUAGUACGAGAGGACCGGAGUGGACGAACCUCUGGUGUUCGGGUUGUCAUGCCAAUGGCAUUGCCCGGUAGCUAAGUUCGGAAUCGAUAACCGCUGAAAGCAUCUAAGCGGGAAGCGAGCCCUGAGAUGAGUUUUCCCUGACGCUUUAAGCGUCCUAAAGGGUUGUUCAAGACUAGAACGUUGAUAGGCAGGGUGUGUAAGCGCUGUGAGGCGUUGAGCUAACCUGUACUAAUUGCCCGUGAGGCUUAACCAU